GACGGGGGGUCCUAGCGUUGUUCGGAAUCAUUGGGCGUAAAGCGUGUGCAGGCUGUUCGAUAAGUUGGAUGUGAAAGCCUUGGGCUCAACCCAAGAAGUGCAUUCAAAACUAUCAGACUUGAGUACGGAAGAGGAUCGUGGAAUUCCUAGUGUAGUGGUGAAAUACGUAGAUAUUAGGAGGAACACCGGUUGCGAAGGCGGCGAUCUGGUCCAGUACUGACGCUCAUACACGAAAGCGUGGGGAUCAAACAGG
rnacentral:rRNA from 1 species